GCAGCCAUGGCCUACUGGUUAGUGCUUCGGACUUGUAACCGGAGGGUUGCCGGUUCGAACCCCCAUGGCUGAA
rnacentral:tRNA from 1 species